ACGCUGGCGGCGUGCCUAAUACAUGCAAGUCGAACGCUUCUUUUUCCACCGGAGCUUGCUCCACCGGAAAAAGAGGAGUGGCGAACGGGUGAGUAACACGUGGGUAACCUGCCCAUCAGAAGGGGAUAACACUUGGAAACAGGUGCUAAUACCGUAUAACAAUCAAAACCGCAUGGUUUUGAUUUGAAAGGCGCUUUCGGGUGUCGCUGAUGGAUGGACCCGCGGUGCAUUAGCUAGUUGGUGAGGUAACGGCUCACCAAGGCCACGAUGCAUAGCCGACCUGAGAGGGUGAUCGGCCACAUUGGGACUGAGACACGGCCCAAACUCCUACGGGAGGCAGCAGUAGGGAAUCUUCGGCAAUGGACGAAAGUCUGACCGAGCAACGCCGCGUGAGUGAAGAAGGUUUUCGGAUCGUAAAACUCUGUUGUUAGAGAAGAACAAGGAUGAGAGUAACUGUUCAUCCCUUGACGGUAUCUAACCAGAAAGCCACGGCUAACUACGUGCCAGCAGCCGCGGUAAUACGUAGGUGGCAAGCGUUGUCCGGGAUUUAUUGGGGCGUAAAGCGAGCGCAGGCGGUUUUCUUUAAGUUCUGAUGUGAAAAGCCCCCCGGCUUCAACCGGG
rnacentral:rRNA from 1 species